UGGUCAAGUUAUUAAGGGUGCAGGGCGGAUGCCUUGGCACUAGGAGCCGAUGAAGGACGUGAUAAGCUGCGAUAAGCUUCGGGGAGUUGCACGUAAACUUUGAUCCGAAGAUUUCCGAAUGAGGAAACUCACUUAGAGUAAUGUCUAAGUAUCAUUAAGUGAAUACAUAGCUUAAUGAGGGGAACUCAGGGAACUGAAACAUCUAAGUACCUGAAGGAAGAGAAAGAAAUUCGAUUCCGUAAGUAGCGGCGAGCGAACGCGGAUUAGCCCAAACCAAUAAAGUUUUCUUUAUUGGGGUUGCGGACAUAUCAUAACGAAGAGGUAUCGUAAUUGAAGAAGUUUGGAAAGACCCACCACAGAAGGUAAUAGUCCUGUAUGUUAAACGAGAAGACUUCAGAUAUGAUCCAGAGUACCACGGGACACGUGAAACCCUGUGGGAAGCAGGAGGGACCACCCUCCAAGGCUAAAUACUACCUAGUGACCGAUAGCGUAUAGUACCGUGAGGGAAAGGUGAAAAGAACCCCGGGAGGGGAGUGAAAUAGAACCUGAAACCCUGCACUUACAAGCUGUGGAAGCACAUUUCUUGUGUGACCGCGUACUUUUUGUAGAACGGGCCAACGAGUUACGUUAAGUAGCAAGGUUAAGCACUUAAGGUGUGGAGCCGUAGCGAAAGCGAGUUUUAACUGAGCGUUCAGUUACUUGACGUAGACCCGAAACCGGGCGACCUACCCAUGAGCAGGAUGAAGCGAAAGUAAAAUUUCGUGGAGGUCCGAACCCACGAGCGUUGAAAAGCUCGGGGAUGACUUGUGGGUAGCGGUGAAAUUCCAAUCGAGCCCGGAGAUAGCUGGUUCUCCCCGAAAUAGCUUUAGGGCUAGCCUCAAGGUGAGAGAUACGGAGGUAGAGCACUGAAUGUCCUAGGGGGUAUUGCACCUACCGAAGACUAUCAAACUCCGAAUGCCGUCAUCUUAUACUUGGGAGUCAGACUGUGGGUGAUAAGAUUCAUAGUCGAAAGGGCAACAGCCCAGAUCGUCAGCUAAGGUCCCUAAAUGUAAGUUAAGUGGUAAAGGAUGUGGGAUUGCACAGACAACCAGGAUGUUGGCUUAGAAGCAGCCACUCAUUCAAAGAGUGCGUAAUAGCUCACUGGUCGAGUGAUCCUGCGCCGAAGAUUUCCGGGGCUAAAACUUACUACCGAAGCUACGGCAUCAGUAAUGAUGGGUAGGGGAGCUUCCCAUAUGGGUUGAAGCAUGACCGUAAGGACAUGUGGACAGUAUGGGAGUGAGAAUGUUGGCAUGAGUAGCGAGAUGUGGGUGAGAAUCCCACAGGCCGUAAACCCAAGGUUUCCAGGGGAAGGUUCGUCCGCCCUGGGUUAGUCGGGACCUAAGCUGAGGCCGAAAGGCGUAGGUGAUGGACAACAGGUUGAUAUUCCUGUACUACCGAUAACCGUUUGAGAGAAGGGAUGACACAGUAGGAUAAGCUAAGCACACUGUUGGUUAUGUGUGCCCAAGCAUUGAGGCAGUCAAAGUAGGCAAAUCCGCUUUGAUAAUGCUGGGAUGUGAUGGGGAGCGAAAUUUAGUAGCGAAGUAGCUGAUUUCACACUGUCAAGAAAAGUCUCUAUCGAGGUUAAAGGUACCCGUACCGCAAACCGACACAGGUGGGUGAGGAGAGUAUCCUAAGGCCAGCGAGAGAACUGUUGUUAAGGAACUCGGCAAAAUGACCCCGUAACUUAGGGAUAAGGGGUGCCACCAUCAGGUGGCCGCAGAGAAUAGGCCCAAGCGACUGUUUACCAAAAACAUAGGUUUCUGCUAAGUCGCAAGACGAUGUAUAGGAGCUGACGCCUGCCCGGUGCUGGAAGGUUAAGGGGAUCUGUUAGAGCAAUCGAAGCAGUGAACUUAAGCCCCAGUAAACGGCGGCCGUAACUAUAACGGUCCUAAGGUAGCGAAAUUCCUUGUCGGGUAAGUUCCGACCCGCACGAAAGGCGUAACGAUUUGGGCACUGUCUCAACAACAGACUCGGUGAAAUUGUAAUUCCGGUGAAGAUGCCGGAUACCUGCGACAGGACGGAAAGACCCCAUGGAGCUUUACUGUAGCUUGACAUUGGGUCUUGGUACUACAUGUACAGGAUAGGUGGGAGGCUUUGAAACCAGGACGCCAGUUUUGGCGGAGCCAUCCUUGGGAUACCACCCUUGUAGUACUGGGACUCUAACCAUAGGCCAUGAAUCUGGUCUUGGGACACUGUCAGGUGGGCAGUUUGACUGGGGCGGUCGCCUCCCAAAAGGUAACGGAGGCGCUCAAAGGUUCUCUCAGUACGGUCGGAAAUCGUACGUAGAGUGUAAAGGCAAAAGAGAGCUUGAUUGCAAGACAUACAGGUCGAGCAAGGAUGAAAAUCGGACUUAGUGAUCCGGUGGUUCUGCGUGGAAGGGCCAUCGCUCAACGGAUAAAAGCUACCCUGGGGAUAACAGGCUUAUCUCCCCCAAGAGUCCACAUCGACGGGGAGGUUUGGCACCUCGAUGUCGGCUCAUCACAUCCUGGGGCUGUAGUAGGUCCCAAGGGUUGGGCUGUUCGCCCAUUAAAGUGGUACGCGAGCUGGGUUCAGAACGUCGUGAGACAGUUCGGUCCCUAUCCGUCGCAGGCGUAGGAAAUUUGAGAAGACCUGUCCUUAGUACGAGAGGACCGGGAUGGACGUACCUCUGGUGUACCAGUUGUUCUGCCAAGGGCAUGGCUGGGUAGCUAUGUGCGGAAUGGAUAAGCGCUGAAAGCAUCUAAGCGCGAAGCCAACUUCAAGAUAAGAUUUCCCACCGCAAGGGUAAGACCCCAGAAAGACUAUCUGGUUGAUAGGUCGAAGGUGUAAGUGCAGCAAUGUAUUUAGCUUAUCGAUACUAAUAGGUCGAGGACUUGACCAAU
rnacentral:rRNA from 1 species